AACAAAAGCAUCCUUCUUCAUCGUUAAUGCUCGAUUACACUUCCAGAGUUAUAAGUACCAAACUAGUAACUAUUCAUACGUUUACCCGACAAAAUAUGGCUUCGUGUAAGUCAUUCCGAUGGAGCAGAGAUUUCGUGUUUUGAACUUCAAAGUUUAGAAGAAAUCAAGUGAUUGUUCGCUUAAAUACUUCAUCCACACAAAAUUAUAAUAUAGCGUUGUUAUAUAUUCACAUCAGCAGAUUACCAGGAAACUCAAUGACCAGCCAUCUCAUUCCUCUGCAACAUUAACAAGUUCAUACUCGACUAAAGAUAGAUUAUUGUCUUCCUUGACGACGAAAUCUUCGGGCUCAG
rnacentral:misc_RNA from 1 species